GAAGCACAAAACAGCAACACAGCAAGUUGCAACCAUUUCGUUAGAUGAGGAGGAAGAGGCAUGGUUUGAUGUGUACUACCGAUAUGUUCGACCAGCUUUUCUUAAGAACUCUGAUGACACGGAAGCAGAUGAGAGCUUCUUAAUUUCCACAACCGGGAACCCGAUCUACAACCCAUCCAAUGAUCUACAAAGGUUUCAUUCCAAAUACAACUUGCCCAACAUCACGAGCCAGGUAGCAAGACGAGUUAUGGAGACAAAUACCAAAGCCAGCUUCACAGACCAACAGAAGGCCCUUGUUGCUGACUACUUGGCCCAUACAA